AUCCAAGAAAUUGAAUGUGAUGAAGAUAGACAUGGCAAAACUUGAAUGGUACAAGAAGCAUUGUAAAGGUCAGGGUAAUGGAUACUAUGACUGCUUCAAAAAGGCUAUCUCAACAGCUGACCAAGAUGCUGUUCAGUGGCAGAAAAACCUCAGAAACUACUGGAGUGACAUGGUUGAAGAGGCAGAGAUGAAACCUCAGACAGAAGCUGCAGCUUUUCGCAUUCGCUGGCUUUAUGCUGGAACUAACUACAGGAGAAUGGUUGAACCCCUAGACAUAGCCGAAUACUAUGCAAAUGGUCGUCGGAAGGACUAUGUGGCUAAAGGAAGGUCUAGACAUUAU
rnacentral:lncRNA from 1 species